UUUCAAGCGUGCAAAGCUAGACCCAAGCUGAGCAAGACUCGGACCGGACUGGCCACCAGCUUCAGUGCAAAUAAAAUCAGCACUAUUCAGGUAUGGGUAAGUUUGUUGGGAGAUGGGUCGCGCUAACGCACGACCGCGCGAUCGCCCGGCGGGCUGGCUACGGCCUACUGUACACGUGCCCCUCCAUGCCCCCUGUCUCCCUCGCCUCUCUCUCUCUCCAUUCUCUUGCCUAUCUUUCUUUUUAAAUCAAGUUUAUUGAUAAAAAUGUUUUAUCUUUCUCGUACGAGCUCUGUUUUGAAUACCUAUUGCACUAUUGUGUUCUACGUGAUGAGAUAAACAGAACUAGAUCCCACUUGCAUAUAUUUUGAAGAUGUUUUAUAUAGGUAGCAACUUAUGUGUAAAUUUGACAAUGAUCAUAUUACCGGGCAUAGUAAUGUCCACCAAGCACCGGUCCACAAUAGAAACUAUUGAACAGCUAACCUGUUCUUGAUCAACAGGCCACAGCAACUAUUGUCACCAGGGCAGUCUUCUCGACGAGUUGGCGUACAAACAAGAGAGGCACCAAAAAGCAAUACAUCGCAAGCGAUUGAAGCACGGCUUGUCUAGCAGCUAGGCUCGUCACAGGGAGCAGUGACUUGGAGUCUUGGACUAACUCUUCCAUCUCGUAUAUGUGCCACACAAGAAUGUGGACAAGGCAAAGAAAAGUUAAGUGAGCAUACGAAGUUAGUGCCGGUGCCAAUUAUGGAGUACUUAGGAAUGCAACAAAUGAAUGGAUAUACAAAUAUAUAGAACGAGAUGUAUUUAUCGAGAGGACCAUAACUUAUUUAUUUGUCCCAUAAUGCUGGUUCAGCGCAACACACUGGAUUUGUCUUAAACUAGUCUCUCAUAAUACAUUAAAUUAAGUGAUUCGUCCUUUAA